rnacentral:lncRNA from 1 species
GUUUAGGGCAGGACCUGGGCUAGACUUAUAAAUAUCCCUAAGUGUCGUUACUUCUACUUUCCUCUGCCUUACAAAGCCUGGCACAUCGAGGCAGCUGGUCAGUCCACAGUAGCUGCCACUCCUUGCCAGCCUGGUCCUCCAGCUAAUGGGCCAUAGCCUUUGAAGGCAUGAGUGGAGAUCUCCCUGAGGCCAAUGAGGAGUGGCGCUGGUCUUCCCAGCCACCCUUGUCUCUCCCCAAGGAGAGCUGUGAAGGCAAGAUGCCAGAGACAUCCUCGGAGGAGCUGUCUCCUAAUCCUGACCGGAAAGCUGAGACUUCCCCACCUCCAGAAAUGGAUCCCAAAGACAACUCGAAGGGCAAGGGCAAAGGGGACUCUGGUGCCAAAGGUGGGCAGCAAGGCUCUGUUCCCAAGUGGUACAAGAUGAAAGGUGAGGAUCUCCAAGGCAACUGGAGUGAUCUGGCGAAGAUUGAACAGAAGGUGGAUACUCUGCUAGAGAAGAUGGAUCUGUAUAACAAGGAGGGUGGACCCCCGCCACAGGCUGCUGAGGAGGCGAAGAAGAUCCCACAGCCGCCGCAGCCCCAGCCACCCCAGCCACAGCAGCCGCAGCAGCCCCCUCCAGUGCCGCCACUGCCAACCCGGCAGGAGCAGGCGCUGCCCCAGCAGCAGCACCACGGUGGCAAAGGCCAGAAGAAGUUCAAGGGGUAUAUUAAGGGGGCUCCCACUGAGGUUGGUGGAGGAGGCAGUGGUGGUGGUGGUGCUGUGGGAAAGUUUGCUUAGAGGGGUGGAGCCUGGACCAGAGGGAUGCUGCAGAUCAAGGCCUGGAGGACCUGCGGGGGUGGUUCCAGGAAGAGGCAGUGGCAGCAGCAGCUGCAGGGGCCCCCUCCCCAUGACAUCUGGGCCCUUGUGCUAGAGCCAGCCUCACCUGGUCCCCUCCCCUGGUAUCCUCCAGCACAGUUGUCCCCAAUCUUAAUCGCUCCAGGCUCCCUAAUUCAGCUCUUUCUAGCAAGUGGCCGCCCCUGCCACUCCCCAAAGCAUUCCUUGGAGGCCCCCCAGUAAAGCAUCUGCUAUUUUGCUCCUUAGCUCUCAUAACUUUUCUCUGCAGAUUUGACAAUAAAAACAUUCUCUUGCUUCUGUGGUGCUUUUUU